rnacentral:misc_RNA from 1 species
AAAAAAAAAUAUAACGCCACAAACGAAAUGAGGUUUUUAAGUAUUUAUUUGUAGAUGAUAGUAUAUUCAAUGCAUCAACACCUUGUGUCUACAUGCAGGAUAUCACAAGCAAAAUCAGAUGUAGCUGCCUGCAGGUUACCAUAUGGAGUGACAAUGCUACUGCAAAAAUGUCCUUUGAGAUUUAACACAUGAUAGAACAUUGAUGUGGUUGGUAGGUGCAAAGGAUUUAUUUUGGAGAUAGAAUCAGAAGCAAAAUUGUUGAACAACAGCCUGUUCCAGCCUGGGUACUCAUGCGAAUUCAAAUUGUUCUUAAGUUCCAAAGAUAUAUUAUGCUUUUUUG